CUCUGCUUUGGAAUCUGUUCUUCCUCUAUUGCACAACAACCGCGAAAUAACAGAGGGAGGGAGAAGGGGGGGUUUCUCUCUCUGGUUCUGAAAGCACUAUGUUUAGUAUGUUUGGCAGGGAUGGAGAAGGCAGGAGGUGUGUCAGACCGACAUGCUGUAUUUUGAUUCAAGAAGCUUUGUUGUCACGGGAGACGCUAUAGAGGGAGGGGCCACAGAGAGAGUGUGUGUGUAUAAAAAAGGUCCUUCAACUCCAAACUGCCUGAAGACGCAAGAUACCAGCCAGCUCUCUGCUACCAUCACCAUCAUCAUCACCAUCAUCAUCAUCACCAUCAUUAUGAGUGUGUACUGUGGUUGAAGCCAAAAUCUUCAUUACUUCUCCCUGUCUGUCAUUCUCUGCAAAUUCUCUAUUUCUCUCCCUCCCUCUCCCUCCUCUCUCUCUCUCCCCCUCCUCCUGCCCCCUUUCCCUAUCCUCUCGCCCUCUUCUCCCUCUUCCUUUCUCUCAGAGGAAGUGGUAUGAAGUGGAGGGCAGGUCACAUGACUGCUGUAUGAUGUCAUCGGCGGGUGUUAUUGGGCUGAGGGGCCACAGCCGGGGUUCUGGCAGACAGAUCUGUGGUUUGGCCGUCCUCACAGGUGCCUGUCUGACUCUGAAACAUCUGACUGGGACUGUUACCAUGUUACCGUCUCUACAGUAACAAUCUAAAGCCACGGUCGCCAUGGAGACAGCAGGGAGAAGGAGGAGUGGGAGUUGGCAUGGUAACUGGAGAUGGCGAUGUCCGAUUGGCUCUUGGGUGGAUACGACGUGCGCACAUCAGCAUAGAAAUCCCCCAAUACUGGCCCAUGCAGUCAGGCUGGCUCACACACAGGGGCACGAGGCAGAGAGAAGAGGAGAAAGAGGGAGUUUGGGGGGGAGAGAGGGAGAGCAAGGAAGAGAGGAAUAAAUGGGGGAGAAAGAGAGAGAGGAGAAGAGAGCGUUGUGGAGUUUUUGUGGAGUCCUCUGGAAAGUUGCGACGAGGACAUUCCUAGAGACUUACCAAGACAUGCCAUAUCUUAAUUUGCCCAGUUUCACACAGCAUGAAAAUAAUCCUGCAGCAACAGGAAAUGUGAAUUGUUAUGUGGAUUAUAAUUCAUGGAUUUUUUUGUUGUUGUAGGGGUUGAUACACUCUUUUUGUUGGACAAAUCAAGUCUGACGUUUUCAAAUACACUACACAUUUACAUUUCCUGUUGUGAAGGAAAAUUCCUGCAACAACAGGAUGAUCAAAUUAAGACGACAUCUGUACAAUACCAUUGUCAGGGUGUUAGUUAACCUAAACUAUAGUUUCCAUAGCCGCACUUCCAGGGCGAUGUCUCCAGGACAGGUAGUGUUGCCACGGCGAGUUGCCAGGCAUCAGUAGCCAUGACUGUAGACUGUUACUGUAACUGUGAGACUUUUUUUUAAAGCAGUAAGCAGUCUAAAGCCAAGGUGCUGAUGCUCUGGCAGUCAGGGGGUCGUAACCACGGUAACCAGGAGAAGGAGGGAGAGAACAGGUCGGAUAGCCUACAUACCACUGCACCUGCAAUGAAAAGAAGAGAAGAGAAGAUGUUUAAAAAAAAAAAAAAAAAGUUAAAAUAUUGUACAUCCCAAAAUGCCUUACUUUUGACCAGAGACCUUUUUCUAUUUGGGACACAACCUUCAUGGGAGGCUUUCUUCCUGUUUCGUUCCCUAAUGUCAUUAUGUUAAUGAUCAGAAAGAAAAACAAACCACGACGGUCAGUGUCCCAGUACGUAUAUCUGCCAAUGGGAACGGUCAGUGUCCCAGUACGUAUAUCUGCCAAUGGGAACGGUCAGUGUCCCAGUACGUAUAUCUGCCAAUGGGAACGGUCAGUGUCCCAGUACGUAUAUCUGCCAAUGGG
rnacentral:lncRNA from 1 species